CCUUUGACGUUAGCGGCGGACGGGUGAGUAACACGUGGGUAACCUACCUAUAAGACUGGGAUAACUUCGGGAAACCGGAGCUAAUACCGGAUAAUAUUUAGAACCGCAUGGUUCGAUAGUGAAAGAUGGUUUUGCUAUCACUUAUAGAUGGACCCGCGCCGUAUUAGCUAGUUGGUAAGGUAACGGCUUACCAAGGCGACGAUACGUAGCCGACCUGAGAGGGUGAUCGGCCACACUGGAACUGAGACACGGUCCAGACUCCUACGGGAGGCAGCAGGU
rnacentral:rRNA from 1 species